rnacentral:rRNA from 1 species
AACGAACGCUGGCGGCAUGCCUAACACAUGCAAGUCGAACGAGACCUUCGGGUCUAGUGGCGCACGGGUGCGUAACGCGUGGGAACCUGCCCUUAGGUUUGGAAUAACUCCCCGAAAGGGGUGCUAAUACCGGAUCAUGUCUUCCGACCAAAGAUUUAUCGCCUUUGGAUGGGCCGGCGUUGGCUUAGCUAGUUGUUAGGGUAAAAGCCUACCAAGGCUACGAUCCAUAGCUGGGUUGAGAGGAUGAGCAGCGACACUGGUAGGGAGAAACGGCCCAGAAUCCUAGGGGAGGCAGGAGUGGGGAAUAUAGGAAAGUGGGGGAAAGGCUGAAGGAGCUAGGACGGGUGAGUGAUGAAGGCCUGAGGGUUGGAAAGCUCGUUUAUCCGGGAUGAUAAUGACAGUACCGGGAGAAUAAGCACCGGCUAACUCCGUG